CUCCUAAACUCAUUGCUGAAAAAACUCUUGGUUAAUUUCUUUAAAAUUUGGUCGCAAUCCACUACCAGGUGUAAGAUAGAGCCAUGUGGUUAAAGAGCAAGCAUUGCAUGAUGAUCUGAGACACAGAUCAGAGAUGGGUUUUUCAAUGAAAAGCUACAUGUGCAGAGCUGAGAUUGCACCACUGCACACCAGCGGGCAAGAGUGAAACUCCGUCUCAAAAAAAACCAAACAAAAGAAAAAGAAGAAAAGAAAGAAAAAAGAAAAGAGGUGGUUUUCAACAUGUCCCUGGACCAGAAGAACAAGUAUCACAUGAUGAGGAAACUGAAGCACGCUGAGUAAAAAUGUCUUGUCCAAGUGCCAUCAUGUGUAUAAAAACAGAACGGAGGACGAUGACACCCCUCGAUAUGGAUCUCAAGAGGCCGAUCCUUUAUUGCUGUCAUUGGAAUGACAGCCGGAGGAGGAAAGUUCAGCCGAAGGCUGAGGCUGUGCAGGAAGGCAAGUUUGAUGGAAGAGAUGCAGCAGGGUGGUUGGAAAGGCUGAUGGGAUCUUGAAGUGCCUGGCUGGACUUGGGAGUUGGAAGCAGCUAUAAAUGGGGACA
ensembl:lncRNA